rnacentral:lncRNA from 1 species
UUUCCUCUUUUCCAGAAUUGCCUAGGAGAAUCCACAGCUGGAAACUUAGAUCAUUUUUAGAGCCCUCCAGCUACUGGGCCAUCUACACUCGUAAAGACUUUCUGAAAGGCACAGACAGCAUCAUCUCCUCGGAAGCAGCAAUGCAUUUCUGCCACCUGAAUUCCGCCACUUCACACUCAGUCUCUACAAGAUGCAUCGGGAUAGAUUUGAUGAUUAACUUUGUGGGGAAUAGAGUUCAUAUACAAUGAGACUAUUCUUUGUCAUUUCAUCCAGUGGUGUACUACAGAUUUUAGUGUACCAAGAUAAUUGCCCCAAGACAACAUUUCAUAGAGCCACAGCACUUGCUGGCCAGAGAUGGGGAUAGGUGGAAUAGAGGAUUGGGCAUUUGAGUGAGAUAGAAGGAAGAGAUCAAGUCCAACCUCUCUGGUCUCAGUUCUUGAAAGGUAUCAUUGGGACCUGGAAGGAAGCAAAACUGUAUGAUUCCCAGUGGUGCCUGAAGAGAGAGCACAUGAUCCCAGGUGGUGCUGCGAGUAGGAGGUUGGGAGAGGGGAUAGGGUUAGAAGAUGGGGUCUGAUCCCACGUGGGCCAAUCAGUGUCAAGGGAUGCUGCAUGAGCUUGGUCCAACCCCAUAAGUCAGAGGUGGAUGUGAUGGGCAUAAUGGGCAUGAUGGGCAUCCCCCAAUCCACACAGAAUCUGCUGACAAUUUGGUAUUUCAAGGGUGACCUUGCUCUUUGCCACCUGAGAGAUUAAAAAAUACAGCAAACAAGAGGACUUGCCACCCACCAUGGAGAAAACAAUUUUGUUUUCACUUCUCUAAGCCCAAAAGAGCAAAAACAGGGAAGAAGUGGGGCUGGGGUUGUGGCUCAGGGGUAGAGCGCUCGCCUAGCAUGCUUGAGGCACUGAGUUCAAUCCUCAGCCCCACAUAAAUGCAAAAUAAAGAUAUUGUGUCUACUUAAAACUAAAAAUAUAAAUAUUUUUAAAAAAAAACAGGGAAGAAAGAGGCUGGAAAAGAGCAUGUCCUGGGAAUUGACUACAGGUACUGCAGAGGGAGAGAGCACCUGUAACCUGAUAUGGGAAAAUGUGUUUUGCUGCAAAAUCACAUAUUUGUGGAAGUUUACAUUGAAUAUUUUUGAAACAGUAUAAAGCCCAUAUAUUUUAAGUGUAUUCUAGUUGUAAAGUAUGUGCACAUCUAUGUUGAAUGGCUUUCUCAUGUAAAAAUGCUGUACUUCACAAAUUUCUUAUCUGUAAGAAACCGGACAUUCUACAGAACAUCUCUUUUAUUAUUUUCUGACGAAGCAGCUGUGUGUUGAACUGCCACCGUAUUAAAGUUGUCAUAUUUCUUAUUUCACGCUUUUGUGUAUUUUACACAAUACGCUUUAUCCUGAUGCCACAAUAUUUAGACUCUGAAUUUCUCCUCUCUGUGUGUCUUGUUAUGUAUAAGUUUAAAAUAUGUAAAUUGC